AGUGGCGAACGGGUGAGUAAUACAUCGGAACGUGCCCGAUCGUGGGGGAUAACGGAGCGAAAGCUUUGCUAAUACCGCAUACGAUCUACGGAUGAAAGCGGGGGAUCUUCGGACCUCGCGCGGACGGAGCGGCCGAUGGCAGAUUAGGUAGUUGGUGGGAUAAAAGCUUACCAAGCCGACGAUCUGUAGCUGGUCUGAGAGGAUGAUCAGCCACACUGGGACUGAGACACGGCCCAGACUCCUACGGGAGGCAGCAGUGGGGAAUUUUGGACAAUGGGCGCAAGCCUGAUCCAGCCAUGCCGCGUGCAGGAUGAAGGCCUUCGGGUUGUAAACUGCUUUUGUACGGAACGAAAAGGUUCUUUCUAAUAAAGAGAGCUCAUGACGGUACCGUAAGAAUAAGCACCGGCUAACUACGUGCCAGCAGCCGCGGUAAUACGUAGGGUGCAAGCGUUAAUCGGAAUUACUGGGCGUAAAGCGUGCGCAGGCGGUUUUGUAAGACAGAGGUGAAAUCCCCGGGCUCAACCUGGGAACUGCCUUUGUGACUGCAAGGCUGGAGUGCGGCAGAGGGGGAUGGAAUUCCGCGUGUAGCAGUGAAAUGCGU
rnacentral:rRNA from 1 species